GUCUGUGGAACAUCUCAUUUUGAAUUCAGUAUUACAUAUUAUUUAUUUUGUGCUGGUACUGUAAUAAUGAAACGCCGACGCGAAAGUUUUUGACGCACGUUUUUAUACCCUACCCCAAAGGGUAGGAGAAUAUUAUAAGAUUGUGCCUCCAGGAAAGAUUGAUCUAUUGCGGUGUUGGCAGAUGGAGCAAUCGAUCCAAAUCCCACAGGUGACAUGUUUGUAGUUACAGAUACAAUUUGGUUUCCGCUGCUGCCGUUGUUAGAUCCGGAGCUAUUUGUGGUACCACCAGCACCACCUGAGUUUAGACUGAC